rnacentral:tRNA from 1 species
UGGGGCAUAGCCAAGUGGAAAGGCAACAGGUUCUGAUUCUGUGAAACGGUAGUUCGAAUCUAUCUGCCCCAGCCA